GCUAUACUAUAGUUCUGACCUGGGGUCCUUCACUUCCAGUUACAGCAGUGUUGUAGACAAAAAAGGGAUAAAUAUUAAGAGUAGCACAAAUCUGUUCCAAGCUACGCAUGAAAGAACUAAAAAUGGGGGAAAAUAUUGUUUCAGGAUUUCUUUUUCUUUAGUGCCCACAGGUCUUGCUCACAUUGCUUCUAAGAAUGAAGAGGUAGAGCAGACAAAGAGCGGUGGGCAGCAAAGCGCAAUUUCUUUAGUAAGAGUAUAAAGCUCCUGGAGAGGGAGGAGGGGGCCCAAGUGGGUUGCCUUUGGAGUUUCUAAGCUUAGGGGUUUUCAUGAGCAUAAUAUCUUAAGCAAGCAGGGUCGUGCCAGUCAGUACGACUGCUGAGUCGUGCCAGUCAGGGCUCUGAUCAGGCAUCUGCCUACCUAUUAUGUUAAUAUCUCUGCUGAUGGUCUUUUUUUGCUGAUGUCUUAACCUCCCCUUGCCUGUGAUAUCGACAGAUGCUUUGUGGUUAAUUGUCUUAUCUUAGAACACUUUGCAGAAUUAAUUUCUGCAAGGGCUGCAAAACAGAAUGUUAGGGUGGUCCUGUCUAAACUGCAAAACAGGAUGUUAGUGCUGUCUUAUUUUAGCUGUCCUGACUCCAUAUUUUCUUGUUGGGGACUCUGGCCCUGACUACCUGUGCAACUAACUCUUAAUUCAUAGAAGGUUAAAUAAGCACUAGUACACAGGGUAUGAAAAGUGAGGCAGAGAACAACACUGGUUUUUCUUGCUUUCCCACAUAUGCUUUAAAUAGCUCUUCUGAAAAUCUGGGAUGAUCUUCCCAUAAAGGAUCUGCACAGAACAGAAUGGUCGUGAGAUAGACCUCCUUCAUUUUGAGAGAGAGAAUGCCACAGAACAAAGACUUCCCAAGAGCAAACACCAUGUCCCUGGGUGGGCUUGCACCACCAACCUUUCGGUUAACAGCCAAACGCGCUAACCAGUUGCACCACAGAGACCUGUGAUGACCCAUUUACUCCUUCCAACAAGGAACAAGCCAAACUGCUGGUUGCUGUUGGGGGAACCAGAAAGAUAAAGGGACAGGGGAGCAUGGGGGGAGACGCGGGAAAGAGGAAUGUGAAAAGGAGCAAAAGAAACAAAUAUGGAUGAGAUGAUGAGAUGAAGGGACUGCUAGGAAAUCUGUGAAGAGGAAAAUUGUUUUAUUAUGUAGAACAGGGAGGGAGAAACAGAGAACAGUAGGAAAGAGACCGGCGCAAACAUCUGCAGGUGUCCAAGAAUAAAACAGCCAAAGAAGUGUAAAUAAAAAUUACAGUAAGUGCAGUGGCUGCCAGUAGGAUUGUGGGGCACUGUCACUGUAUACGGGUUGGUACCCUUGUGGUUACGGCCUCAGUUCAAACCAAGUAACAGUAGGGUAGGUGUAGAUGUCCUUAGUAGGUGCCAAACCAAUCUUUUGGGCUGCUUUUCAUCCCAGCACCGGCUCUGCGCCUUAGUUAGCUGCAGUCAGAACACAGGAUACUUAGGAGUCGAGUACACCUGCUAGUCCCACGGCAGGUGCAAUCAGAAGAGGGGUAAAUUCCACAGUGUACAAACCUUUGGGUGGCGGACCAAAGUGAACCUUGGAAGUUUCCUUGUUUCCUUACUGAGCAGAAGAUAUCCCCAAAGAUGAAAUACCUUUCAAGGAGACUGGCAUAUAGCUUUCAUGAAUGAAAUAGUGUCCACAUAGCCUUUUUUUCUGGUAAAGAUAUUUCAAGUAUUAGUGUGUGUGUUGGGGGGAGGGUUAACACUAAAUGAGAACAGGUCUCUGUGUUUACAAUAAAAUGCAAACAAGUUGUCAUGACAACUACAUGACAGCUUGUCUCCAUCUGCCAUCUGCUAAUUUUUAUGGAAACAGUAAAUUAUUGAACUAUAGUUCACACUGAGUAAAAAAUCACAAAUCUUUACUGUACAAUUUGUUGAAUGUGGGCAAAUGUAAUCAUCACCCAAAUCAAAUUAUGAAAAAUUGCCAUCAUCCCUGAAGUAUAGGUUGAGCUCCUUUCCGGGUAAUUCAUACCCUAUCUCACUUAGGUAAUUAUUAUUUUGAAGUCUAUCUGCUAUAGGUUACUAUUGCUUAUUCUCAAAAUUCAAAUGAAUGAAUGCUUAUUUUUGCAUUUGCCUUUUAAUGUUAAAUAUUAAAUUAAUAUUAAAUAUAUCAUAUUGAUAGGUACAUAACUUGAUUUUGGUAUUACUGGAGAAACUUUGGUGUUAUUUGGUAUUAGUUAGUAUUAUUGAUCAAUAUUCUUAGUGUUUGUUGAAUAUUCUGUACCAGUCUUUCUAUGUACUUGCGCAUUGAUAGAUGUACUGCAAUUGCUGGGUCAUGGAGUAGGUAUGAGUUUAACUUUAUUAGAAAUUGCCAACAGUCCUCUAGAAUAGUUUUGAACAGUAACUACAGUUGCAAUUGUUCCACAGUCUUAUCAGCAUUUGGUGUACUAAUUCUUUUUAUAUAUAGCCAUGUUGGAAGGUGGGUAAUAUUAUCUCCUUAUAUUUUAAUUUGUAUUUCCCAAGUAAAUAAAAAUAUCAAGAAUAUAUAUAUAUAUAUAUAUAUAUAUAUUUUAAAGAUUUUAUUUAUUUAUUUAACAGAGAGAGAGAUCACAGUAGGCACAGAGGCAGAGGAGAAGGCAGCCUCCCCGCUGAGCAGAGAGCCCGUUGCAGGGCUCCAUCCCAGAGCCCCAGGAUCGAUCCCAGGGCCCCAGGAUCAUGACCUGAGCCGAAGGCAGAGCCUUAACCCAUUGAGCCACCCAGGUGCCCCAGGAAUAUAUUUUUUAAAAUAAGCUCCACACCUUCAACUCACAGCCCCGAGAUCAAGAUCUGACCUGAGCUCAAGAGUCAGACACUUAAUUUGACUGAGACACCCCUCAAGAAUGUUUCAUAUAACAUUUGGUCAUUAAAAUAUCUCACUUUGUGGGGCGCCUGGGUGGCUCAGUGGGUUAAAGCCUCUGCCUCCGGCUCAGGUCAUGAUCCCAGGGUCCUGGGAUGGAGCCCCACAUCGAGCCCCGCCUUGGGCUCUCUGCUCAGUGGGGAACCUGCUUCCUCCUCUCUCUCUCUCUCUCUCUGCCUCUCUGCCUACUUGUGAUCUCUGUCUGUAAAUAAAUAAAUAAAAUCUUAAAAAAAAAAAAAGAUACCUCACUUUGUAAAGAAAAUCUAUUGGAUAUUUUGCCUUUUAUUUGGUUUAGUUUUUAAAAAUUAACUGAUUUAUUAAAUCUUCAUAUAUUUGAAUAAUCAAGACAUUUUAAAGUAAUAUGGCUUAACAUAUUUUCUCAGCUUGUGAUUUAACUUUUUUUUUUUUUUUUUUUGUCCGAGAGAAUGAGCACAGGCAGACAGAGUGGCAGGCAGAGGCAGAGGGAGAAGCAGGUUUCCUGCUGAGCAAGGAGCCCGAUGUAGAACUUGAUCCCAGGAUUAUGACCUGAGCCGAAGGCAGCCGCUUAACCAACUGAGCCACCCAGGUGCCAGAGGUACACUCGGCUCAUUUCCUACAGCCAAAGUGUCUGUGGGUGCUCCUGCGCCGGGACCCUGCCCAUCGAGCUCCGCACCAGGCCCGAAAUUUCUCGCAGGUUCGUGGGCGACCGCCUGCCGAAGAAAUUCCACGCGGCGUAUAAUGGUGAGAAAGCACGGGGGACGUCGCCCGAAGUCCUCUACAUUCCCUCUGGGGCCAAGUCCGAAGGAGGCUCCCCUUCCAGAAACGUUGGGGCCCGAGACCCGCCUUCGCAUUCAGGCUCCCGGUCCCAGCGCGCCCUCUCGGUCCCUGCCCUGGCUAGCCAGCUGUGCCUCGCCUCUCCCGGAUUCUUCCUCUCCCUCCUCGUCUUCCGUUCCCUCUGUGCUCUUGGGAACCGGAAGCCGCCACCCCUCCCACCCACCGGAAAGGACCAACCCGCGGAAAGGACCCAGCCGCCUCUCCCGGGCCUGCGGAGGGAAUUGGAUCCAUGUUUGCCAAACAAAGGGAGGAGAGAGAACCUCCGGCAGCCCGCAACUGGUUCCGUGCUGGUGCUCCUGGCUCAGCCCUUCGACGGGCCUGGAAUCCGCUAGAGAAACGCGCGGCUCACGGAGCUGGCCCAGUUAGCGUCUCUCCCACCGCGCCUCUCGAAAGCGCAGGAAUAUCCUGUGGGGGUCGCUCUUACGGCCCAGAAGACACACGUGACAACGGGUGCUGCCGGAGCCCAGACUUUGCACACCCGACCGCUACUCAACGUCGUUUCCGUCGGCUGGUCCAUCCCCGGGAGGGCCUUGGAGACAGGAGGAAGGAUGGAGGAGGACGCACUCUUCAGUGGCAAUAAAAACUCCACUUUUCUGUGACUUGCCUCACUGUUCCUCUCCUUUCUUCCGUUCUAGCACCUCUAGCAUAGAAGAACGGUGGUCUUGCUCUCCUUGGAGACGUGUGUGUGUGUGUGUUCUGGUCCAUGGCUCCCUUUCCUUCAAUGGACAUUUAUCACAUAUACACAAGUGACUUGUAGAAUGGCAUUUGUACGAGUCCUCAAAUGCUGCAGAUUGAAAUCACUCAAAUAUCUAUCAUUUGUCUUUAGUUUUACGAUAAUAGGAUACUAGCAUCAUUAUCUUUAACACCAGAAUUAAAGUGUGACAAAGGCAAUAACAUGUAUAAAAACCAUAAUGUUGCUUGAUAAUGGCUAGAUAGAAAAAGUGUAUAUUCAUUCAUGUGAAUUUGAAGAAAGGACCAGGCUAAUCUGUGGGGGUAGACAUCAGAAUAGUUUAAAAUAGCAGGAAUGGAUAGCCAUUACCUGGAAAGUGUAUCAGAGAGCCAUACGUGCUUGGCUGAUAGAAAAUUUCUGUCUUAAUCGUGGUGAUAAUUGAACAUUUCAAUAUUUAAAUAGCUGUCCCUUAAUUAUUUGGGCAUUUUGUUCUGUGAACACACAUUGCUAUUUUCCUUUUCUAGGAUAAAAAUUAGCUAUUCAACGUUAAAGAGUCCAACGUAGACGAGGACAAUUCUGGAGUGUAUUGCAGACUCUCCAAAAUCUGCUCUUUUUUGUGUAAGAAAGUUUCACUCAUGUGUGAAAUAUUUCCACCAGAAAAGCCCCGAUAUGACCAGACCAUUUCCUUAGGGGAAGCGAUACACAGGACUUAUUGAGAGCUUGCACAUCACAUCUUUAGACAUUUUCUGUUAAAUGGUGACGUGGAGCACGCCCGGGGUUCUCCUCUCUUCUACUGACCAUGUUGCACUGUUGUCCCCCCAAAGCGUGGCGGGGAGCGGCUCGUGCGGCUUGAGACACAAAGAAAAACGGACGCUUUGCCGUGACUCGGAUUCGAACCGAGGUUGCUGCGGCCACAACGCAGAGUACUAACCACUAUACGAUCACGGCGCGCCACAGCCGGGGUGGCAAGCUGAGAACUUGCUCUACUAACUUUGACAAAUUCAUUCCAAUUACCGCGCUGCUUUGUUCUCGGUCAACUGCAGGUAUUCAUGCUGUUUCCCUCCCUAUUCUGAUGCAUUUAUCAUCUCCACUGCAUCCAGCCCGUGCAUCUGUAGGGAUCUCCUGGAAAGUAACUUUGCAGCGUUUAUGCCUCUCCCACUUCUUUCUCUCUUCGUUACAUUGCCUCUCUUGAUCCCCGCACCCUUCCCUCCGGCUCCUACCCCCCCGACCGCAGCCGAGUGGGGCGCCGGCAGGGCAGAUAGUAGGCGGGUGAAGGCGAAGCAACUGGUAAAGCCAUUACGCGAGGCCACCAGGCGUUCCGCUUCUCUUGGGCCCCUCUUGCCUCAGGCCCGGGGGUCACCGGCGUGGAAUGCUGACUGCCCUUCGAAACGCCCAACAUACGGGUUUCAAACGCGACAAACACACACCUUUCGGGUUUUCGGAGACUGGAGACUUAACGGCUGUCCUGCAAAGUUGUUUCUACCCUGUGCAUCCUCUCACCUAAAGGGAGAGAAAUGCCUCUAUCACCCUCCGGUCCUUAAGUGUUUUGUGUACAAGAGAAGGACCUAAGCCAAGAUCGUCACGGAUCCUCAGAUCCAGAAGAGCUCAGGAGGAAAACAGGUCGCCAGGAAUCCUCAUGAGUAGAGUCAUCGUUGUUAACCUGAAUUCCUUUUGACAAUGAAGCCUCUUUGUUUGUGUUAGUAUUAAUUUAACCCUUUCCAUUUAUUUUUGAAAUUAAGUUGGUUUUAUGCUAUUAGUAUCAUAAAUAAUAUCUUGGUCCUAUGCAGCUAACACUGUACACAUCCUUACCGAAGAAUGCUGGAAGAGCAAUUACAUGGUUUCUACAUGAUUCCAUGUUUUUCCUUUUGUUAGUUUAUUAGCUAUAAAUCUUUCUUUUGUUAUUUCAGCAACUGCUUUAGGCUUUAUAGCUGCAUACAUCUGUAAUUUACCGCAAUUGGCCUUUAAGUCAACUCAUAUCUCUUAACAUUUUUCCUUUACCUGUCUUUAUACUAGUUUUGUCAUGCAUUUUAUGUUGCAUGUUAUAAACCUCACAAUCCAUCGUCA